AUUGAACGCUGGCGGCAUGCCUUACACAUGCAAGUCGAACGGCAGCACGGGUGCUUGCACCUGGUGGCGAGUGGCGAACGGGUGAGUAAUACAUCGGAACAUGUCCUGUAGUGGGGGAUAGCCCGGCGAAAGCCGGAUUAAUACCGCAUACGAUCUACGGAUGAAAGCGGGGGACCUUCGGGCCUCGCGCUAUAGGGUUGGCCGAUGGCUGAUUAGCUAGUUGGUGGGGUAAAGGCCUACCAAGGCGACGAUCAGUAGCUGGUCUGAGAGGACGACCAGCCACACUGGGACUGAGACACGGCCCAGACUCCUACGGGAGGCAGCAGUGGGGAAUUUUGGACAAUGAGCGAAAGCCUGAUCCAGCAAUGCCGCGUGUGAAGAAGGCCUUCGGGUUGUAAAGCACUUUUGUCCGGAAAGAAAUCCUUGGCCCUAAUACGGUCGGGGGAUGACGGUACCGGAAGAAUAAGCACCGGCUAACUACGUG
rnacentral:rRNA from 1 species